rnacentral:rRNA from 1 species
AGUGAACGCUGGCGGUAGGCCUAACACAUGCAAGUCGAACGGCAGCACAGUAAGAGCUUGCUCUUACGGGUGGCGAGUGGCGGACGGGUGAGGCAUACAUCGGAAUCUACUUUUUCGUGGGGGAUAACGUAGGGAAACUUACGCUAAUACCGCAUACGACCUACGGGUGAAAGCAGGGGAUCUUCGGACCUUGCGCGAUUGAAUGAGCCGAUGUCGGAUUAGCUAGUUGGCGGGGUAAAGGCCCACCAAGGCGACGAUCCGUAGCUGGUCUGAGAGGAUGAUCGGCCAAACUGGAACUGAGACACGGUCCAGACUCCUACGGGAGGCAGCAGUAGGGAAUCUUGGACAAUGGGCGAAAGCCUGAUCCAGCCAUACCGCGUGAGUGAAGAAGGCCUUCGGGUUGUAAAGCCCUUUUGUUGGGAAAGAAAAGCAGCAGGUUAAUCCCCCGCUGUUCUGACGGUACCCAAAGAAUAAGCACCGGCUAACUUCGUG